ACGGGCAACGAUGAUAGGGGGUUCUGAGAGGAAGGUCCCCCCACAUUGGAACUGAGACACGGUCCAAACUCCUACGGAAGGCAGCAG
rnacentral:rRNA from 1 species